GAUGAACGCUAGCUACAGGCUUAACACAUGCGAGUCGAGGGGCAGCGGGAUUGAAGCUUGCUUCAAUUGCCGGCGACCGGCGCACGGGUGAGUAACGCGUAUCCAACCUUCCGUACACUCAGGGAUAGCCUUUCGAAAGAAAGAUUAAUACCUGAUGGUAUGAUGAGAUUGCAUGAUAUCAUCAUUAAAGAUUUAUCGGUGUACGAUGGGGAUGCGUUCCAUUAGGUAGUAGGCGGGGUAACGGCCCACCUAGCCAACGAUGGAUAGGGGUUCUGAGAGGAAGGUCCCCCACAUUGGAACUGAGGCACAGUCCAAACUCCUACGGGAGGCAGCAGUAAGGAAUAUUGGUCAAUGGACGAGAGUCUAAACCAGCCAAGUAGCGUGAAGGAUGAAGGUCCUACGGAUUGUAAGCUUCUUUUAUAAGGGAAGAAACCCUCACACGUGUGGGAGCUUGUAUGUACCUUAUGAAUAAGCAUCGGCUAACUCCGUG
rnacentral:rRNA from 1 species